rnacentral:lncRNA from 1 species
GGUCCGGUUUUCACACUUUUAUUGUAAAGCUCGGGAAUAAUUACACGGGUCUUUCAUUGACAGCUCAGCAAACAAACCGGAAACGAACCGAACCGGAGGGGGUAGGGGCGGUGCCUGCGCAUGCUCGCGGCGGGGGUGGGGGGUGGGGGUGGGGGUGGGGGGGGGUCAGAGAAAGAGAAAGACAGAAAGAGACAGAAAUCAUUACAAAUCAACGGGAUUGUGCUCGCAGCGCCAGGGAUGGGGUGGGGUGGGGCGGGACACAGUCCCCCCUCCCAGAGAAGUCCCCAGUGGAGACGCCCCUUAAGAGACUUUCUCAUGGCCAACACAAGCCCUCCCAACACCCGGAGACAGCCCCGACCCACGGAAGAAAUGGCUCCAGAGGCCCUACCCUCGGGAGAGAGAGGUAUCCCAGGGCUCCUAGGAGAAAAGACAACUCAGAGAUGCCCAGCCUCAUCCUAAAGUGCUGCAGGGCAGAGAAACCCCCAUAGGAGAGAUGGGGGUAGGGCCAGAAACAUCCCUUCCCAGACGUGUUUCAGAGAUAGCCCCCUUCCCUGGGAAGAGAGAUGGCCCGAAACUGACUUGCCUUAAGUACUCCCAGGAACCCUGGGAGGAAAACAGGCUCCCCAGAGAGCCUGGGUAAUCGGGGGAGACAUGCUCCCGUGGUCCUCAGCGGGAACACAUGUCCCCCGGAGACUCCCAAGGGGAGAGAUAGGGCCUAGAGAGCCCCCAGAGGUGAGGGAUGCCCAGAGAACUUCCCCCCACCCCGGAAUGUGAAACAUGCUUCAAGGACCCUAGGAGAGAAAUAUGUCCCCAUAUACCCUCCCCCUACGGAGAGACAUGCCCUGAAGUAGGGGGAUGGGGACCGACUAGGUCCCCUCUAGGAAGACACAGACUGGGUCAGGCUGGGUUUGAGGGGGGCUCUCCUCUGGCCAAAUGUCGCCUAUUGGUACAUAAAACUGUACGCGACACAGGCAUUGGGGAGGGGCUUCACAGACCUAGGACCCACAGGGAUAGUCCCCAGUGCUGUCGCCAACCCCUGCCCACCUUUGGUUUCAUCUCUCCAGUGCCCAGUUGGUGACAGACUCAGUGCCCUGGCCCCAACCAGGGGGCUGGGGGCUCUGUCUUUGCCUGUGGGAAGGGCUUCUCAGCUCUCCCAGCCAUCUGGGCCACCCUCUUUCUUCUGGCUUCUCCAUUGUGCAAAAUGCUCCUCUGCUCUUCUGCUCAGUGCUCAGGGGUCUCUAAGACCAGGGCAAGGUACCCAGGCCACUAGGGGCUUCCAGUGGGAGUCCACUGACCCCAGGAAUACCGCCUGUCUGGACCACCUUCUCCACCAAGCAAAUGGGGCUCAUACAAUCUUCUUGCCCGAAUCCUGACCUCCAGGACCCAGGACAAUCCUUGAGGCCACUGUUCCACCAGCUGGGCACCCAAUACUACCAACUCCAAGACUAUUGCACCUGCCCCAUUUGUGCAGGGGAAAGGGGCUGUCUCUUUAACAAGCCCCCAGCCCAUUUCCUGGGCCUCCCCAAGGGAAAGGAGCCUUUGGCCAACCCCUAGACCUGGCUGCUGCCACCCCAUCCCAUUCUACCCCUUCCCCUCUGUAGAAGGGCUUCGUAUGCCAGGGCUACCAGCCUAACAAUGCUCUCCUUCCUAGCACUGUCACCCCAAGCCAAGUUGGGGGUAAGGGGCAGAUAAAUAGGGUGAUUCUUCAGGCCCCUGGCUUUUCCGGGGUGGGGGUGGGGUCUCUGGGGUACAAGAGUCAAGACCCCAGCAGCACAGCUCCCAAAGGCACCAGACAACCCCGCAGCCUGUACCCACCCCUCGCAAUCUUGGACCACCUCCCCAAGCUUAGACUAAGUCAAGCAAGGGCCAUACCCUGAGUCUCCAGCCUCCCAGCCUGGGCCCCUAGGGAGCUGGAGAGGUAUGCGCCAAGGCAGUGGGGGUUUCUGGAAGGAAGAGGGGCUGAGGCUUUGAGAUGGCCACAGUGGGAGACGGGGGCUCUGCAGGACGCCCCUUACACCCUGGCCCCCUGAGGUGAAGAAGAGAACUUCACCUCAUCAUGGCUGACUGGGCUUCUCUGCCCCCCAACCUCCCUACCCCCUCCCCCAUGGGACCCCUGACCCUGACAAAGGGAAGCCCAACUGGAAGAAGGGGGCCUGGAGCCCAGGGUGCCCUGAGGCAGCCCUCCCACCCCCUGAGAUCAAGGCAAUGGUGGUUUUACAGGCUGACGGGUCAGUCAUGGCAGGGGCUGGGGGUUGAGAGGGCAGGGAGGGGGCAGGAUGCAGGCCCCCUAUAUCGGGAGCAGCACCCAGCCACCCCCUGAGCAAACCUUCCUGCUCCCAACUCACCCAACCAGGCCAGAGGCACAGUCAUCCCACCCCUGUCCAGCUGCCCCCCACAGCCUCAGGGCCCCUCUGUGAUGCUCAUCUGGAUGUGGGAGGCCAGCCUGAGCGGGGAUCCCCCCAGGGCACAGCGCAACAGUUCCAAAAAAAUAGAGAUUUGUAUUUUUAAGAAAAAUUAAAUAAAAGCCCAGCUCUGCUGAUAGGCAAAUGUUACCCCCGUCCCCACCCCCACCCACCUGUUGUUUCCCUGGCCUGCACCCCCAUCCCACCAUGGCCCCAGGGGUAUUUACAACAUGGAACAAUAGAGGCCUGGGUUGGGGGGCACUGCGGCAGGGAGGAGGGGGCACAGGGCAGGUCCCCCCCCCGAGGGGUCCCCCAAGACAACACGACAUCAACAAGAAAAGUUGCAAAUCAGGCAGAAAUGGGGACGUCAUUCCAAGGUCCUUAUAUACAGACACUGCAUGACCAGCAGGGAAUGGGGGCCCAGAUGGGACUAGGCGUGGGCAUGUGGCAGGCAGGUGGGCCAGUCCAGGAGCAGCACGGGAAGACAAGGCCUCCGCUCCACUCCCACCCCCGUCCCUACCCCACCUUUGGUAACAAAAGCCCUUCAGGGAGCCACUGGUGGUCAAGAGUUUCCUCUGGGAGCUCCCAGGGAAAGGGGCUCCCCAGUUCAGCCCUGCUUCAGGGCUAAAAUUGGGCAUGCUAUCCCCGCCCUGGUCGGCCAUGAGGGAAACAAUGAGUUAGAAGUACGCUGCCCACCCUUGACUCCACCAUCUGCCCAAAUCGAGGGGGUGCUCCCUGGAAGUCAAGGGAAGGAGCCCAGUCAUUGCAGAGGAGCCCUCUUGGGCAUCAGCUGGGGGAAGCCCCAUAAAGGGGAAGGGGCCCCUGGGGGCUGGGAGAUGGAAAUGAGGGGAGAGGACCUGGACCCUGCAUGGGAGAAGGGCCAGCGUGGUCAUGAGGUCAGUGAUACCCCCACUUGGGGCCCUGGCCAGGAAGUCCACGCUGAAGGGGUCGAGAGUGAGGCCCUGGAAUGGGCCAUUUGGGAGCUGGCCGGCGGCUGGGGGAGGGGGGCCGGCCGGCCAGUAGGGGGCUCACAGGUAGAUCUCGCGCUUGGCCGUCUGGGCAGAUGCCGGUGUGGCUGCGGGUGGGAAGUCCGAGGUCUGGGUCAGGGGGAUUUCCUCCAAGGUGGCCGAGUCCUUGCAGGAAUCAUGGCUACUGUGGGAGAAGGCACUGUAGGAGGGCAGGAGGCGCACGGGGGCCGUUUUGGUGUUCCGGUCUUCCGGGGGGCUGGGGCUGCCGGCGCCCGCAGGCUCCUGCCCUCCUCGGUCCUGGUAAGGCACGAAGGUGGAGAGUUUGAGGGCGCUGCUCUUGGUCCGGCGGCUGGGAGAUGACUGGCCAGGCAUCCAGCAUGUGUCAGAGUGGCCAAACUCACUGCACUCCCGGGUACAUGUGCCUGUCAUGGCG